ACCUAUAAAACUGACCACAUUGAGACCCUCAUUACUCAUUACUCAUUACUCAUUAGGUUUUAGGGUUCCAGAGAGAUGAAAGUUUGUGAGGGGUCUGAAAGCCAAGAUGAAGAGGAUGGCGGUGCUGGUAGGGUUCUAACAUAUCGCAUCCAUGAUUUACCAGAUCAGAUGAAAACCUCAUAGGGCAUGGCCUGGUCCUGAUCAACAAACACCUUGGGAUCUCAGUGGAACCCCUGGACCAUCCUUUGGGAAUCGGGUCGUCCCAAAUUCUCUUCUGAUGUAUGGGAGAAUGGCAACAGUAACGAGAGGCUCGUAGAGUGCAGAGCCCUUCAAGACUGAAGUGCAAGCGCAUGCUCAAUGGCAGAAUGCGACUGAAGCUGACUCUUCUGACCCAAUCAUCCGAUAACAACAACAAGGCAUUCAAGAGACAAUCUCAGUUGAAGAAGAUUAGAAGCAAACAUCUCAAUAGGAGGAGGGCAUUGUAUAUAUAUAGUUGUAAACAUUUUUUAUUUGUCGUUAUAGGCUAUAGUUUAGUUAGGACGAUUAGUUGUGCUUGAGCUGUAAUUGUGUGAUUGUAAACCUAAUAAUGGAUCACUGGAAGGAAAUUUUUGUUCAUACA